UACGUAGGGUGCAAGCGUUGUCCGGAAUUACUGGGCGUAAAGAGCUCGUAGGCGGUCUGUCACGUCGGCUGUGAAAACCCGAGGCUCAACCUCGGGCCUGCAGUCGAUACGGGCAGACUAGAGUUCGGUAGGGGAGACUGGAAUUCCUGGUGUAGCGGUGAAAUGCGCAGAUAUCAGGAGGAACACCGGUGGCGAAGGCGGGUCUCUGGGCCGAAACUGACGCUGAGGAGCGAAAGCGUGGGGAGCGAACAGG
rnacentral:rRNA from 1 species